rnacentral:rRNA from 1 species
GAUGAACGCUGGCGGCGUGCUUAACACAUGCAAGUCGAACGGGAAAUAUUUCAUUGAGACUUCGGUGGAUUUGAUCUAUUUCUAGUGGCGGACGGGUGAGUAACGCGUGGGUAACCUGCCUUAUACAGGGGGAUAACAGUCAGAAAUGGCUGCUAAUACCGCAUAAGCGCACAGAGCUGCAUGGCUCAGUGUGAAAAACUCCGGUGGUAUAAGAUGGACCCGCGUUGGAUUAGCUGGUUGGUGGGGUAACGGCCCACCAAGGCGACGAUCCAUAGCCGGCCUGAGAGGGUGAACGGCCACAUUGGGACUGAGACACGGCCCAGACUCCUACGGGAGGCAGCAGUGGGGAAUAUUGCACAAUGGGGGAAACCCUGAUGCAGUGACGCCGCGUGAAGGAAGAAGUAUCUCGGUAUGUAAACUUCUAUCAGCAGGGAAGAUAGUGACGGUACCUGACUAAGAAGCCCGGCUA